ACUUGAUCCCUGCCUAAACAACCAAGGUUCUUGUUCCUUCAGGUCUGCCCCUCCAGGAGCAUAGUGCAAAUGCAAAUGUCCAGAUGAAGUCAGCUUGGAGCAUGGGUGCGGUGGUGAAAGACACACACAGUGAAUUUACAUCUCUUGGAUAAAGGGAGAAACUGAAGAAAGAUUUCCCCUGUGAGCUGGCUUUUAUCGUCAGUGUGAACAUCUUAGUCAGCACACGCUCAGACUUCUAAAACUGUGCAGCCGUGUGCUGUGAGAGCUACAGCCUCUGCAGCUUCCUGCUUCCCUGAAUCAGCCAAGGAUAAAGGCUCCAGGAGCUGUGUUCCUCUGGCAGGAAUGGCUGAGCCCAGGCCAGAUGGAUUGGUAUCUUUCGUCCAGAGCAUCAUAAAGAGUAAAGAAAAACAAUAUAUGGUGAUCUUGGGAAGUCUGACUGGGAAGCAUGUGAUGGAGGCCAUCAAGUUUCAAACUUCAAGGAAGCCUUUGAAAUCCCAGAGUUUCCAGUGUGCUGCCUGGUCACUGUUUCCAUCAGCUGGCCCUUCACCAGAUUCCUGGGAAGAUGGCACCUGGCAAUCACAUGCACCACAGGUUCCCUGAGGUUCAUGGUCUUCCUUGCAGAGCCUUGCAAAGCUUGCAGGAUGGUUGGGGCUGGCUGAAGAGCAGUAGGAGUUGCUUUCUCCUCGUCUUCCUCUCCAGGCUGCAUUCCCUGCUAAUACAGGCAGCUCCCUCCUGUGCUGAGGGUAGUUUCCAUGGAGUAAGGAAAUAUGAGAAGCAGAGAAGUGGGAAACUCUGGAUCCACUAGACAAGUCUCGCUUCUCCUUGGGGGCCUGAAUGUGUGUGAAAGCUGUGGGUGGUCUGAAUUUUGGGUGCUUGAGCAGGAGGCUUUGGAUAUUGGUGUGGUUAUCCAAGUUGCUUUGAGAAUACUUUAGGCUGAAUGAGAAGUGAAUUCCCUAAAUCUCUUCCCUAGGGUCUCACUGACUUUCAGCAAAAUUGUCCCUCAGAGGCAACCCAGCGAUCUUCAAUUCAUGGAGUUCUCAGCGAUGCUCUGCUAUCGAGUUCCCUUUGAAAAGGUUUUUGUGCUGUAAUCUGCUGGCUGGUUACUUAACUGGUGCAGCUUACAGACCUCCACUGGCUGUUGCACGUCUUUUAAUUUUUAAGGGUUUAUUUCAGCUCCUUUGUGAAGUGUAAGGAAAUGGAUGAUUAGCAAAAUUCUUCCCAGUAUUUUAGAAGCAUUAGUAAAUGCUGAAUAAAGGGCAAUCACACUGUUGUUUUCAUGGGAACUGUGAAAUAAAGACUGCUAGAUUAGGUGCAAUCCUGAUCUUAAAGUCACAA